rnacentral:rRNA from 1 species
UACGUAGGGGGCGAGCGUUGUCCGGAGUUACUGGGCGUAAAGCGCUUGUAGGCGGUCCACCAAGUUUGGGGUGACAGUUGCCGACUUAAUCGGCAAAGUGCCUCAAAGACUGGCGGACUUGAGGGCCACAGAGGGACAUGGAACUCCAGGUGUAGUGGUGAAAUGCGUAGAUAUCUGGAAGAACACCAAAGGCGAAGGCAGUGUCCUGGGUGGUCGCUGACGCUGAGAGGCGAGAGCCAGGGGAGCGAACGGG